ACCCGCUGAACUUAAGCAUAUCAGUAAGCGGAGGAAAAGAAACUAACUAGGAUUCCCCGAGUAGCGGCGAGCGAAAGGGGAGAAGCCCAGCGCCGAAGCCCGCAGUUCUAAGACUGCAGUGCAAUGUGGCGUUUCGGCGGCGACUCGCCGCCUCCUGCUCUGGCACGAGUACCUCUGAAUGGGUCGACCGCAGCGGGUGUCAGCCCCAUACUUGCCAACCGAGUGGAGGCGUCCUGUCGUCGUCGCGGAGUCGGGUUGCUUGAGAGUGCAGCCCAAAGUGGGUGGUAAGCUCCAUCUAAGGCUAAAUACCUAGUGCGAGACCGAUAGCAAACAAGUACCGUGAGGGAAAGUUGCAAAGAACUUUGAAAAGAGAGUUCAAGAGUACGUGAAACCGUUCAGAGGCAAACGGACGGAACUGGGCGAUUCCGUCGUCGUCAUUCAGCCGUCGGCCCCGGCCGGCGGUGCACUUGGCGGCGUCGGAGCGCGACGACCGCCUGUCGGGUCGUCAGAAGCCCGGCGGCAAGGUGGCGACGCGCUCGCGCGUCGUGUUACAGGCCGCCGCGGCGUUGACAGACUUGGCGGGCGAGGAGCGCCUGCGGUGCACUCCCCCUUGCGCGGGAGUGGCCCGACGUGGUGGGCUUGCGGACGCCGGCGACGAACUGCUCGCAGUUUGAUGUCGCGCGCGCCGUCUGUCGUGCCGCGCGGUGCCACGGGGCACCCAGGGUCCGGGUCGUGUGGUUCCUGGCACUCCGUCCGACCCGUCUUGAAACACGGACCAAGGAGUUGAGCACGCACGCGAGUCGAUGGGCUCCAAGAACCCCAGUGGCGUAGCUAAGGCAAAACGGGCGUGAUCCGGCACUCGCGUGUCGGCGCAACGCCGGCCCGCAGGCGACUCGCUGCGAGUGCCUGCGGCGCAAGAGCGUGUGUGCUCAGACCCGAAAGGUGGUGAACUAUGCUUGAGCAGGGCGAAGCCAGAGGAAACUCUGGUGGAGGCUCGCAGCGAUCCUGACGUGCAAAUCGGUCGUCAAACUUGAGCAUAGGGGCGAAAGACUAAUCGAACCGCCUAGUAGCUGGUUCCCUCCGAAGUUUCCCUCAGGAUAGCUGGCACUCGGGAUAAAUGGUUUUAUCCGGUAAAGCGAAUGAUUAGAGGCAUUGGGGACGAAACGUCCUCAACCUAUUCUCAAACUUUAAAUGGGUAAGAGGCGCGACCCUUCCUGAUCGGGGUCGCGUGCUCGAACAGAGAGUGCCCAGUGGGCCGUUUUUGGUAAGCAGAACUGGCGCUGUGGGAUGAACCAAACGCGCGGUUAGGGUGCCUAACGCACGCUCAUGAGAGACCACAAAAGGUGUUGGUUGAUAUAGACAGCAGGACGGUGGCCAUGGAAGUCGGAAUCCGCUAAGGAGUGUGUAACAACUCACCUGCCGAAUCAACUAGCCCUGAAAAUGGAUGGCGCUGGAGCGUGCGACCCAUACCGCGCCGUCGGGGCAAUGCGUGCGAAAUGCCAGGCCCCGACGAGUAGGAGGGCGUGUCGGUGGCGUUGAAGCGUAGUGCGCGAGCACGCGUGGAGCCGCCUUCAGUGCAGAUCUUGGUGGUAGUAGCAAGUAUACAAAUGAGAACUUUGUAGACCGAAGUGGAGAAGGGUUCCAUGUGAACAGCAGUUGGACAUGGGUCAGUCGGCCCUAAGAGAUCGGAGAAUUCCGUUCUGAACGGGGGAGACGCGCGAAGCACCUUCUGCCGGCCGUCUAAACGCUCCAGAGCGGCACUUCACUCGCACAUCUCUCGUCUCUCGUUUCCGUCACUCUUCGGUGGUGACGGCGGUGACGGGGAGAGAGAGCGAAGAAGCCGCCUGCGUGAGAGUGCGUGCUCGGUGACGUUGUGUGCUCGCGCGGGUGUCAACCCCGAUGCGAUCGAAAGGGAAUCGGGUUAAUAUUCCCGAACCUGGCAGUGGAGAUUGGGCCCUCGGGCCCCAGUGCGGUAACGCAACCGAACUCGGAGACGCCAGCGUCGAUCCCGGGAAGAGUUCUCUUUUCUUUGUUAGGAGCGGACUCCCUGGAAUUGGCUUGUCCAGAGAUAGGGACGUUGCAUCCGUAAAGCGUCGCGCCUCACGCGGCGUCCGGUGCAUCGGCGUUGGCCCUUGAAAAUCCGAGGGAGGCAGUGUAAUUUUCACUCCAGGCCGUACCCGAAUCCGCAGCAGGUCUCCAAGGUGAACAGCCUCUGGUCGAUAGAACAAUGUAGGUAAGGGAAGUCGGCAAAUCCGAUCCGUAACUUCGGGACAAGGAUUGGCUCUGAGGUGCGGGCUGCUUCGGGUCGCGGCAAGAAGCGGAUCGUGCGUUGGUUGGACUGGGUGCGCCUCGGCGCGCUCGGACCGCCGCCAGCGCGCGUCCGUGGGAGGCCGUGGCUUUCGGCGGCGUGGGGCUCACGCCUCCGCGUCGCCUUCGUUCGGCCUAAACGCACAGCACAGAACUGGCACGGACUCUGGGAACACGACUGUCUAAUUAAAACAAAGCAUCGCGAUGGCCGCUGGUCGGUGUUGACGCGAUGUGAUUUCUGCCCAGUGCUUUGAAUGUCAAAGUGAAGAAAUUCAACCAAGCGCAGGUAAACGGCGGGAGUAACUAUGACUCUCUUAAGGUAGCCAAAUGCCUCGUCAUCUAAUUAGUGACGCGCAUGAAUGGAUUAACGAUGUUCCCACUGUCCCUAUCUACUAUCUAGCGAAACCACAGCCAAGGGAACGGGCUUGGCAAAUACAGCGGGGAAAGAAGACCCUGUUGAGCUUGACUCUAGUUUGACAUUGUGAAGAGACACGAAAGGUGUAGCAUAGGUGGGAGCCUUCGCGGGCAACAAUGAAAUACCACUACUUUCGUAGUUUCUUUACUUAUUCAGUAAGACGGAGGGCGAGCGGCCUAAGCGGUCGUUCGGCGUUCUGGCGUUGCAAGCCGCGCUCGGCUCCUCGUGAGUCGGCGGCGAUCCGCUCUGAAGACAGUGUCAGGCGGGGAGUUUGACUGGGGCGGUACAUCUGUCAAAAGGUAACGCAGGUGUCCCAAGGUGAGCUCAGCGAGGACAGAAACCUCGCGUAGAGCAAAAGGGCAAAAGCUCACUUGAUUUUGAUUUCCAGUACGAAUACAGACCGCGAAAGCGGGGCCUAUCGAUCCUUACGACUGCCCGGAGCUUGGGGCGUGAGGUGUCAGAAAAGUUACCACAGGGAUAACUGGCUUGUGGCAGCCAAGCGUUCAUAGCGACGUUGCUUUUUGAUCCUUCGAUGUCGGCUCUUCCUAUCAUUGCGAAGCAGAAUUCGCCAAGCGUUG
rnacentral:rRNA from 1 species